rnacentral:rRNA from 1 species
CACGUAGGCACCAAGCGUUGUCCGGAAUUAUUGGGCGUAAAGAGCUCGUAGGCGGUUCUGUAAGUCAGGUGUGAAAUCUUUAGGCUUAACCCAAAGCGUGCAUUUGAUACUGCUGUGACUUGAGUUCGGUAGGGGAGUGGGGAAUUCCUAGUGUAGCGGUGAAAUGCGCAGAUAUUAGGAGGAACACCGGUGGCGAAGGCGCCACUCUGGGCCGAAACUGACGCUGAGGAGCGAAAGCGUGGGUAGCAAACAGG